GAUGAACGCUGGCGGCGUGCCUAACACAUGCAAGUCGAGCGAACCCUUCGGGGUGAGCGGCGGACGGGUGAGUAACGCGUGGGUAACCUGCCCUGUACACACGGAUAACAUACCGAAAGGUAUGCUAAUACGGGAUAACAUAUGAGAGUCGCAUGGCUUUUGUAUCAAAGCUCCGGCGGUACAGGAUGGACCCGCGUCUGAUUAGCUAGUUGGUAAGGUAACGGCUUACCAAGGCAACGAUCAGUAGCCGACCUGAGAGGGUGAUCGGCCACAUUGGAACUGAGACACGGUCCAAACUCCUACGGGAGGCAGCAGUGGGGAAUAUUGCACAAUGGGCGAAAGCCUGAUGCAGCAACGCCGCGUGAGCGAUGAAGGCCUUCGGGUCGUAAAGCUCUGUCCUCAAGGAAGAUAAUGACGGUACUUGAGGAGGAAGCCCCGGCUAACUACGUGCCAGCAGCCGCGGUAAUACGUAGGGGGCUAGCGUUAUCCGGAAUUACUGGGCGUAAAGGGUGCGUAGGCGGUCUUUCAAGCCAGAAGUGAAAGGCUACGGCUCAACCGUAGUAAGCUUUUGGAACUGUAGGACUUGAGUGCAGGAGAGGAGAGUGGAAUUCCUAGUGUAGCGGUGAAAUGCGUAGAUAUUAGGAGGAACACCAGUAGCGAAGGCGGCUCUCUGGACUGUAACUGACGCUGAGGCACGAAGCGUGGGGAGCAAACAGGAUU
rnacentral:rRNA from 1 species